AGUGAACGCUGGCGGUAGGCCUAACACAUGCAAGUCGAACGGCAGCACAGUAAGGGCUUGCUCUUACGGGUGGCGAGUGGCGGACGGGUGAGGAAUACAUCGGAAUCUACUUUUUCGUGGGGGAUAACGUAGGGAAACUUACGCUAAUACCGCAUACGACCUACGGGUGAAAGCAGGGGAUCUUCGGACCUUGCGCGAUUGAAUGAGCCGAUGUCGGAUUAGCUAGUUGGCGGGGUAAAGGCCCACCAAGGCGACGAUCCGUAGCUGGUCUGAGAGGAUGAUCAGCCACACUGGAACUGAGACACGGUCCAGACUCCUACGGGAGGCAGCAGUGGGGAAUAUUGGACAUUGGGCGCAAGCCUGAUCCAGCCAUACCGCGUGGGUGAAGAAGGCCUUCGGGUUGUAAAGCCCUUUUGUUGGGAAAGAAAAGCAGCAGGUUAAUACCCCGCUGUUCUGACGGUACCCAAAGAAUAAGCACCGGCUAACUUCGUG
rnacentral:rRNA from 1 species